GACGAACGCUGGCGGCGUGCUUAACACAUGCAAGUCGAACGGAAAGGCCCUGCUUUUGUGGGGUGCUCGAGUGGCGAACGGGUGAGUAACAAGUGAGUAACCUUCCCUUGACUUUGGGAUAACUUCAGGAAACUGGGGCUUAUACCGGAUAGGAGCUCCUGCUGCAUUGUGGGGGUUGGAAAGUUUCGGCGGUUGGGGAUGGACUCGCGGCUUAUCAGCUUGUUGGUGGGGUAGUGGCUUACCAAGGCUUUGACGGGUAGCCGGCCUGAGAGGGUGACCGGCCACAUUGGGACUGAGAUACGGCCCAGACUCCUACGGGAGGCAGCAGUGAGGAAUAUUGCACAAUGGGCGGAAGCCUGAUGCAGCAACGCCGCGUGCGGGAUGACGGCCUUCGGGUUGUAAACCGCUUUCGCCUGUGACGAAGCGUGAGUGACGGUAAUGGGUAAAGAAGCACCGGCUAACUACGUG
rnacentral:rRNA from 1 species